rnacentral:rRNA from 1 species
UACGUAGGGCGCAAGCGUUGUCCGGAAUUAUUGGGCGUAAAGAGCUCGUAGGCGGCUUGUCACGUCGAUUGUGAAAGCCCGAGGCUUAACCUCGGGUCUGCAGUCGAUACGGGCUAGCUAGAGUGUGGUAGGGGAGAUCGGAAUUCCUGGUGUAGCGGUGAAAUGCGCAGAUAUCAGGAGGAACACCGGUGGCGAAGGCGGAUCUCUGGGCCAUUACUGACGCUGAGGAGCGAAAGCGUGGGGAGCGAGCAGG